rnacentral:rRNA from 1 species
UACGAAGGGGGCUAGCGUUGCUCGGAAUUACUGGGCGUAAAGGGCGCGUAGGCGGAUAGUUUAGUCAGAGGUGAAAGCCCAGGGCUCAACCUUGGAAUUGCCUUUAAUACUGGCUAUCUUGAGUUCGGGAGAGGUGAGUGGAAUGCCGAGUGUAGAGGUGAAAUUCGUAGAUAUUCGGCGGAACACCAGUGGUGAAGGCGACUCACUGGCCCGAUACUGACGCUGAGGCGCGAAAGCGUGGGGAGCAAACAGG